GGAUGAACGCUGGCGGCGUGCCUAAUACAUGCAAGUCGAGCGAACAGACGAGGAGCUUGCUCCUCUGACGUUAGCGGCGGACGGGUGAGUAACACGUGGAUAACCUACCUAUAAGACUGGGAUAACUUCGGGAAACCGGAGCUAAUACCGGAUAAUAUAUUGAACCGCAUGGUUCAAUAGUGAAAGACGGUUUUGCUGUCACUUAUAGAUGGAUCCGCGCCGCAUUAGCUAGUUGGUAAGGUAACGGCUUACCAAGGCAACGAUGCGUAGCCGACCUGAGAGGGUGAUCGGCCACACUGGAACUGAGACACGGUCCAGACUCCUACGGGAGGCAGCAGUAGGGAAUCUUCCGCAAUGGGCGAAAGCCUGACGGAGCAACGCCGCGUGAGUGAUGAAGGUCUUCGGAUCGUAAAACUCUGUUAUUAGGGAAGAACAAAUGUGUAAGUAACUAUGCACGUCUUGACGGUACCUAAUCAGAAAGCCACGGCUAACUACGUGCCAGCAGCCGCGGUAAUACGUAGGUGGCAAGCGUUAUCCGGAAUUAUUGGGCGUAAAGCGCGCGUAGGCGGUUUUUUAAGUCUGAUGUGAAAGCCCACGGCUCAACCGUGGAGGGUCAUUGGAAACUGGAAAACUUGAGUGCAGAAGAGGAAAGUGGAAUUCCAUGUGUAGCGGUGAAAUGCGCAGAGAUAUGGAGGAACACCAGUGGCGAAGGCGACUUUCUGGUCUGUAACUGACGCUGAUGUGCGAAAGCGUGGGGAUCAAACAGGAUUAGAUACCCUGGUAGUCCACGCCGUAAACGAUGAGUGCUAAGUGUUAGGGGGUUUCCGCCCCUUAGUGCUGCAGCUAACGCAUUAAGCACUCCGCCUGGGGAGUACGACCGCAAGGUUGAAACUCAAAGGAAUUGACGGGGACCCGCACAAGCGGUGGAGCAUGUGGUUUAAUUCGAAGC
rnacentral:rRNA from 1 species